rnacentral:rRNA from 1 species
UGGGGAAUAUUGCACAAUGGGCGAAAGCCUGAUGCAGCAACGCCGCGUGGGGGAUGACGGCCUUCGGGUUGUAAACCUCUUUUAGCAGGGAAGAAGCGAAAGUGACGGUACCUGCAGAAAAAGCGCCGGCUAACUACGUGCCAGCAGCCGCGGUAAUACGUAGGGCGCAAGCGUUGUCCGGAAUUAUUGGGCGUAAAGAGCUCGUAGGCGGUUGGUCGCGUCUGCUGUGAAAACCCGAGGCUCGACCUCGGACCUGCAGUGGGUACGGGCCAACUAGAGUGCGGUAGGGGAGAUCGGAAUUCCUGGUGUAGCGGUGGAAUGCGCAGAUAUCAGGAGGAACACCAAUGGCGAAGGCAGAUCUCUGGGCCGUAACUGACGCUGAGGAGCGAAAGCGUGGGGAGCGAACAGG